UAGUGGCGAACGGGUGAGUAACACGUGGGCAAUCUGCCCUUCACUCUGGGACAAGCCCUGGAAACGGGGUCUAAUACCGGAUAACACCUGCCCGGGCAUCCGGGUGGGUUAAAAGCUCCGGCGGUGAAGGAUGAGCCCGCGGCCUAUCAGCUUGUUGGUGAGGUAGUGGCUCACCAAGGCGACGACGGGUAGCCGGCCUGAGAGGGCGACCGGCCACACUGGGACUGAGACACGGCCCAGACUCCUACGGGAGGCAGCAGUGGGGAAUAUUGCACAAUGGGCGAAAGCCUGAUGCAGCGACGCCGCGUGAGGGAUGACGGCCUUCGGGUUGUAAACCUCUUUCAGCAGGGAAGAAGCGAAAGUGACGGUACCUGCAGAAGAAGCGCCGGCUAACUACGUGCCAGCAGCCGCGGUAAUACGUAGGGCGCAAGCGUUGUCCGGAAUUAUUGGGCGUAAAGAGCUCGUAGGCGGCUUGUCACGUCGGGUGUGAAAGCCCGGGGCU
rnacentral:rRNA from 1 species